rnacentral:misc_RNA from 1 species
UUUAUAUUUAACAACUGAUUCAACAGUUAUUUUGACCGAACACUUUUGUUUUAAAUCGUUGAUAUCCAAUAAUUAACAACUAGUAAAAUAACUAAUAGCUACUAAAAUAACUAACAACAUAAUAUUGCUGAAUAAGACCUAAUAAUUAGCGGGAUAUGUAGAUAAGUUGUUUUACUCUGCUUUGUUUGGAUUAUGAAAUAGCAUAUGAAAAGAUGGAAAUAAUAUCAAGAA